rnacentral:rRNA from 1 species
GAUGAACGCUGGCGGCGUGCCUAAUACAUGCAAGUCGAGCGAACGGACGAGAAGCUUGCUUCUCUGAUGUUAGCGUCGGACGGGUGAGUAACACUUGGAUAACCUACCUAUAAGACUGGGAUAACUUCGGGAAACCGGAGCUAAUACCGGAUAAUAUUUUGAACCGCAUGGUUCAAAAGUGAAAGACGGUCUUGCUGUCACUUAUAGAUGGAUCCGCGCUGCAUUAUCUAGUUGGUAAGGUAACGGCUUACCAAGGCAACGAUGCAUAGCCGACCUGAGAGGGUGAUCGGCCACACUGGAACUGAGACACGGUCCAGACUCCUACGGGAGGCAGCAGUAGGGAAUCUUCCGCAAUGGGCGAAAGCCUGACGGAGCAACGCCGCGUGAGUGAUGAAGGUCUUCGGAUCGUAAAACUCUGUUAUUAGGGAAGAACAUAUGUGUAAGUAACUGUGCACAUCUUGACGGUACCUAAUCAGAAAGCCACGGCUAACUACGUG